GUGAUCUUUGCCCAAAGUUGCUUUUGCUGGUGUUUUUGGCUACCUGGGAGGGAAGAUGUCAUACAUGAAGACAUGCCAGGAGAAAUUUAAGAGCUUGGAGAAUUCGCCACUGGGGGAGGCACUGAGACAGAGACAGAGACAGCACCACCAACCACCAGUGUUUACCCAUAAGCACCCGGAAAUGAGUGAUCCAAACAAAACUGAUUUUGAGCCGGCCUUUCAACUUGAUGAUCAGAGGAAUCAGUCAUUGUCCUAUUCUAGCGAUUUCACUAACAGUGACCCCAUGCCCUCAGCAGCUCAAUAUGACACUCAAAUGACAGGUAAGUUAACUCAUUCCCCGCCAGCGUUUUUGAAAAGAGUUGCCAGCCACCGCCAGCAUUUUUGAUCACAUUCACAAAAAUUUCAUGACCCCCAAAAUAUUUUGUUGUAUGCAUAUC